UACGGGGGGGGCAAGCGUUGUUCGGAAUUACUGGGCGUAAAGGGCUCGUAGGUGGCCAACUAAGUCAGACGUGAAAUCCCUCGGCUUAACCGGGGAACUGCGUCUGAUACUGGAUGGCUUGAGGUUGGGAGGGGGAUGCGGAAUUCCAGGUGUAGCGGUGAAAUGCGUAGAUAUCUGGAGGAACACCGGUGGCGAAGGCGGCAUCCUGGACCAAUUCUGACGCUGAGGAGCGAAAGCCAGGGGAGCAAACGGG
rnacentral:rRNA from 1 species